GGUCUGUUAGCGUAGUAGUUAGCGUGCUUACUUAUAAAGCAGGAGGUUAUAAGUUUAAUCCUUACACGGGCUU